AUUGAAUUGAAGUGAAUUGAUCAAGACAUCAGACAAAGAAGAAACAAACAAGCAGAAAAACAAAAAGAAAAGAAGGAGACUCAAAGCAAGUAACAGCAAACUACUGGACACUGAAAUCACGGACUACAGCGGAUUACAGCGGACUACAACGGACUACAGCGGACUACAGCGGAUUACAGCGGACUACAACGGACUACAGUGGACUACAGCGGAUUACAGCGGACUACAGCGGACUACAACGGACUACAGUGGACUACAACGGACUACAGCGGACUACAGCGGACUCGCCCGCUCUUGAAGAGUGCUUGUUCAACCUGUCAUUGCUUGCCGUAUUAUAAUAAAGACUGUCACUACUACUA